ACUUGCACCAGGGGGAUUUAUCCUGCAAAGACUUAAAGCACACUGUGGGACAGUUUUCCUGCACAAGACAUGAUGCCAGCCUAGCAAUGGAGCUCCCAUUGAGCAGAGAACUACGCAUGGGCUUUAACGUUUAGAACAAGCAGGCUACAAGAGAAUGAGUUCAUCUGUAUUUUAUUUUCUUCAUCUUCCUUUGAAGAAGAAGAAUGAAUGAAUGGUGAUACAGUACUUUAAACCCCACGGGAGCACUCUAAGAGCACACAGGGAACCGCUUAAGGACAGGAUAAUGCUUAGCGCUUACCUGGAACUUUUGCUGUAGUUACAGACGGAGGAAUCAUUGCCAGAGAAAACAGAAUCAUUUCAACUGGGAAACAGAAAAACAUGUGAGAUGUUAAAUACCAGCGACUGACAAGGAAACAGCCUGCUAUGGUAAUGAGCGGCGUAAAGCCCAGACUGACCCCCAGAAUUCUUCUGCAAAUGGGGCUCAUUUUCCACAGGGCAUUCAUUACAAAGCUGCUGAGGGCGUUACGCACGCGGAGCUUCAGAGAUGGGGACGUUACAUCACGGCACGUGCCUGGUCAGAGCCCGGGGGUGUGAGCCGGGGCGGCUGGAAAGCACCAAAAGCCUGCUCAUAAGCUUUCAUCUUUUUGCGAUAUUUGCAAAGAAACGUAACCCGUCAUCUCAGACAUCCAGGGGGUCUGCCGUACUUUCAGCUCCGUCCCCUCGGACGCAGGAAGGCAGUGCCACACGCCCCAGAGGCCUCGGCCACCGCCUCACGCCCGAGGCGAGAAGAUGGCGCCCCGGGCCGGGCCGCUCGAGCGCCCCCCAGCGGCGGGGCGGUGCCGCGCACAGCCUCCUCCGCCCCGAGGCAUCACCCGCGGCCGCCGAGGGCCCCGCAAAGUCCCCACACAAACACGGCCGCGCCCUUUAAGCGCGAGGCCGCGCGAUUGGCCGCGGGGACUGCCAAUCAGGGCGGGCGUUGCAUCACCCCGGCGGGAGGGCGGGCGGCGAUUGGCGUGCGGGGCGGGGCGGCGCGGGGCGGGUUUCGCAAUCGCCGCUCGGCCGCGCUCCGCGCGUGAACGAGGAGGCUCGGGCCCGGCCGCGCCCCUCCCCUCCGCCGCCGCCCGCGCCGCCACAGGCAAACGUUUGGAAGUUUCAAAUUCUGGGGAGAAAGCAAAGCUAAUAAAGGGCCUGGCGUGCCUGGGACUCCGCAUCCCCAAGGAGCUGCGGCCAGCGGAGCCCCGGGCUGCCGCUAUUGUGUGCGCUGGGUGGUGGUGGGUGGCAGCCGGCGGCCGCGAUGGAACCGGGCAGCUCCGGCCGCUGGAGCAGCAGCGGCAGUGCUGGGCGGAACCAGCCCGGGGCUGCCCCGUGCCAGCUGGGAGCUGCGUGGGAACGGGAUGCCAGGGAGCUGCUGCCUGUCGUGUCAUGCUGUCACCCUCCCACAGCUAACGUGUCAGUGUGGCACGCACCUGAGCAGUGAGCCCCGGCAGCCAUCUGCUCACGGCCUUCCCCAGGGUUCACCUUGCCCUUAACCCAUGUGAAGACCUGCUGGAAACACGAUCUAGAAAAGAGUUUUCAGUCUUCUAAUAUUCUGUUGUGUCAAAGAAGAGCCCGUCCAAAUGAGCAAGACAUCCCCGCAGAACACCGCUACAGAUGCGAACGGAGUAAGCGUGAUUCACACCCAGGCGCACAGCAGUGGUUUGCAGCAGGUUCCCCAGCUGGUUCCCGUUAGUCCCGGUGGUGGAGGCAAAGCUGUGCCUCCGAGCAAGCAGGGAAAGAAGAAUUCCUUUGUGGAUAGAAACAGCGAUGAGUAUCGUCAGCGCAGAGAGCGAAACAACAUGGCAGUGAAAAAGAGCCGGUUAAAAAGCAAGCAGAAAGCACAAGACACGCUGCAAAGGGUCACCCAGCUCAAAGAAGAAAAUGAACGUUUAGAGGCGAAAAUUAAGCUCCUGACCAAGGAGCUGAGCGUACUGAAAGACCUAUUCCUUGAGCACGCACACAGUCUCGCAGACAAUGUGCAACCUGUUGGCACUGAGAGCACCACAACAAGUGCAGAGAACAGCGGGCAGUAGUCACUGCCACAGCCCGGCGGGAUGAACUCUGGAGGUGCAGCCUGUCUGCACCACCCAUGCAGGAACUGAGCAAAUGAGGGGUUCUUUUAACCAUCGUUGUGUGUGGAUCUUUUUAGGUUUAACACUGAAGAUUUGAUACAAUUAAACCAGAAACUGCUUAGGGUAUUUCUUUAAAGGCGUUAAAUAUUUUUCUCCUCCAGAAGAUUUGUCUAAUAAGUGCAGAUCGAAAUCCUUAGUCAGCAAGGAGCUUACUAUUAUGGAAGCAGCAUUUCACAGAUGUACGCUCACCUUCUUACAUUUAGCAUAACGGGAUAAAUUCACCAGGAUGCUUCACUGUAGUAUCAGAAAGUCAUAAUUGGGUGAAUUCCUUUAAAUACUUUUUAGUGUGUUUAAGCCCUUUCUUUUCUCCAUUACAUAUUACAAACUGCAAAGGCCGUAGAGAGUUUGGUGAACUGCUUUUCUACCUACAGAGCAAUUCCUGCACAGCACCACUUAGGUUUUUCCUAUCUGGUUGCAGUUAACGAGCAGGGCACAGUAAUAGCAAGCUGGGGUACUUAAAGAUGUUUUGCAGAAAACCAGCAGCAUUCUGUAGUGAUCUUUACAGGCAGUUGGCUUCCACAGGGCACGUGGCGGUCUGAAGCACCAAGUAUCAGGUAAAGCAGCACAAGGCCUUUUAUGCCUGUGUUCAUGUUAACCUGGCUUGCACAGUGACCGUGGGGCGGUAGGAAAACAAGAUUUUGGUUUCCAGAAAAUGUAAAAAUGCUACCAACAACCUCUGCUCUGCAAAACUGCAUUCCUGCUGGGUGCGGGUAUCGGAGAACAAAAUACGCAGCUUGGCUGAGCAGCAGAAGGGGUAGGGCAGCAUCUGAACAGCAAGAAUGUGUGGAUCUCAGCUCACUUCUGUUCAUUUCCAUUCUCACAGCCGUUCAGAUUUGCAGCCAGGCUUGUACAGAAUUGCACGGUGAUUCUAAAACUAACGGCCCUCGUUUGAACACCCGAAUCAGCAGAAUUUCUAUAUAGCCAUCACAGAGUUGUGUGAAGGAGUAUCUGCAGGCUUAUUUCCAUAGAAGCUUUUCUAUAGCAGUUUUUAAAAUGCUAGUGAUAAGUCUUUGCCAUGAUCCAUAAUGCAGUGGUAUGUACUAUAUAUUGAGGAUUUUAACAGCAAAAGUAAAGCAGGAACUUUGGCGUACCCUUAAUUUAUUUUCAUUUUUAAGUAUUUCAUUGAUGGUAUGGUUGUGUUACAUUUAACCUGUGUGUCUGGCUAGUGGAUUAUUACACUGUCUUAAUUUCCCUCCUACACUACCUUUUUCCCAUAUUUUGUAGGAUGCUUGUUUGCCUUGUACCUGUACUUAGGAAAAAAAACCUUGGAUAUUAUCUCUAUGAAGAUGCUGUUAGAAAAUAAAGCCUUUAAAAGUUCUUUCUGAAUUUCAAUUUUUAAUACGAAGGCAACUAGAUGCAGUUUUUUAUGGAUUGUUUUGGACUAUGGUAGUCUUUUUACAAAGAUAUGUUUUUUUGGUUCUAGCUGCAGCUUAAUUAGAUGAGACUGAAAUAUCAGAAACUAAUAAAAACAUUUUACCUCCA